CAAAGGGAAAUAUCCUUCCGUUUUCUCUCUUAUUCUUUUUCCAUUUCAGUAAAUCCAAUCCAUUUCAGGGAGCGGUCGUAGUCUCGGAGGAUUGCCGAACAUCCGUGAUCAUCCGUGAUUCGCACUCCAAGACUUCUCGGGAUAUUCAUGGCAAGAAGCCUGAAUGGAGAAGGAGCUGAAGAGGGAGAUGGACGACUUGAGAGCCAAGGUGGCUUCCCUCCGUGUUUUCAGAAUCGAAUGCAUUGCUGCUCAAAUAGAAUGUUAUGGUAGUAACCUGUUCACACUGGCAAAAUCUACGGCUAGUUUUCAUUCUUGGCCCCACUCCAAAAGCAUAAGAUCUGCUCUUGGAAAGCUCAAUGCAGUGGGAGGAUAAAACUCUUUCGAUGGUGCUCAGGCUGUUGCCACCUGAGAAACUAAUGUACAACACGGAUUUUACGGAAGGGAAGCUUCAUACAAGAUAAAUCUUUAAUUGAAGACCUCUCUCCCUGCCUAACGUCAGAGGUUAGUAUAGUUAUACACAGGAUAAAUGCACAUAUUACAUACAUAUAUAUACAUACAUAUGGGUGCGAGAGGGCUUGAUUUUUUUAUUUUUUAUUUUUAAUUUCAGACAAAGAUAGCAAGGCUUUUUGGUUUCUCUAUCUUCUUCAUUAGGGUUCUCUUAGGUUGUCUCAUGCCAUCAUCUCUCAUGGACUAUUAUUUCUCAAGGUGUUGGGGCAUUCAAUUGCUGCAACCUUGGAUGGUAGAACAAAAGAAGGUAUAUAUAUAUAUAUAUAUAUUGUUUUAUUAAUUAUUGUAAUAUAUCAUCUGUGUAAGAAGGGCUGUGACUUGUAUUUUUUACUUUAUUUCCUUUUUCCUUUCCAUAUCUUGUUGGUAUUCUCGUCUAAUACGUUUCUUAAGCUUGUUAAACUAAUGAUAUUUUUGGAUGAAUUAGAAGAAAGUAAUGUACUACAGAAAAGCAAUUUUUGAAGAGUAGAAGUUUCAUGCAAUGUCAAUCUUUAAUCAAAUGUCUCUCUUUCUGUUUCUCUCUCUUGUCUAAAAUUCUUCAACACGCAUGUAAACACAUACAUACACAAACAAGCACAUACACACACAUACAUACUUACAUACACACACGCGCCCUUACACAAACACAUACACAUGCAUACAUACAUCGUAUAUACAUACACACAAACAAAUACAUAUGUACAUACACACACAUAUACAUACAUACAUACAUACAUACAUACAUAUACACAAACAUACACGAAAAAGUCUAUUUGCACACGGGGUUGGGGACCUCUCGCGUACACGUUCAUCUACUUGUAAUAAUGAAACGCAUUUAGCUCAUCUUCUUCUUUGCAUCUCCUUCAUAUUGUCUUGUCUGUGUUCAAGCAAGGAAAGAGAGCAUGUGUGCUCUCUAACCCUAAGCCUUGCCGCACGUUGAUCUCUUCCAUGCCAACCCAGACCACCUCCUUCACGUCCAACCCGUCUACGUUCAACCAACGCCGAAAGAUCAACCAUCACCAUUUCUCUCAUAACCAAAACGAACAAUUUCCACACCGUGACCCGUUCACGCCGACUCUUUGUAUGUUAUAACCCAACCUCCAUCACAACUCCUCACGUUAACAAGGCUAAAGGAAGCAACCACCGACGCACAACGGCAUUGUCACCACGCAAGAAACCACUGAACUACACGCCGCUACCAACUCGUAGUUUAGCCACCCUCUCCAUUCAUGGUACCGGCUUCGCAGCAAGAUCACUUUCAGCUCAUUGCCAUGGACAAAAUCAGUGCAUCAUCGUCGCCACAUUCAGCACGGGUCCAACCGAAACAACUCCAUCAUGUCCUCUAUUUUAAGAAGUGAAAACAGAGUAAGGAGGAGCAAUGCAAGCCACCAAGAGCAACCUCCACGUCAUGACCCCACUACCCAAAGUCUCCCCGUCUGCCACCCUCAACCAUGCGUAGCUCCGUAAGCUUCAAUUGCUCUCUCUAUCUCUCGAUCUACUCUCUCUCUCUCUCUCUCUCUCUCUCUCUCUCUCUCUCUCUCUCUCUCUCUCUCUCUCUCUCUCUCUCUCUCUCCAUUUUCAACAGUCCAACUACGCCGAGUGGUCUACACCGUGAGCAACCCAGUUCGUCGCUAGUUGCCUCUGAUUUGCUCUGUGCCAAAGUCUUCUGUGAAUAAGUGCACAGCCACAUGGAACUUUGGUCUUUUGUUCCAUGCCAACGUCUUCCUCGUAUAGUUUGUUUUAACAGGAAGAAGUUAUAUCUUAGAAGCAUAACUUUUUUAUUUUAGUUUCCCUCUCUCAUUUCAUGUUUCCGUCUCUUUUUUAUUUUUAUUUUUAUUUUUAUUGUUUUUAAUAAUAUCGGCAACCGAUUCCGCAAAAGGUACCCAACGGCGGGUACCUUUAGCAAAACUGAACAUACACAUACAUACAUACUAACAUACAUAUAUAAUGCACACACAUACAUACAUUCAUACAUAUAUAUACAUACAGACAUACACAUACAUACAAACAAACAUAUAU